rnacentral:rRNA from 1 species
UACGAAGGGGGCUAGCGUUGCUCGGAAUCACUGGGCGUAAAGCGCACGUAGGCGGCUUUUUAAGUCAGGGGUGAAAUCCUGGAGCUCAACUCCAGAACUGCCUUCGAUACUGGAGAGCUUGAGUCCGGGAGAGGUGAGUGGAACUGCGAGUGUAGAGGUGAAAUUCGUAGAUAUUCGCAAGAACACCAGUGGCGAAGGCGGCUCACUGGCCCGGUACUGACGCUGAGGUGCGAAAGCGUGGGGAGCAAACAGG